rnacentral:rRNA from 1 species
GGGUUGUGAGGUUAAGCGACUAAGCGUACACGGUGGAUGCCCUGGCAGUCAGAGGCGAUGAAGGGCGUGCUAAUCUGCGAUAAGCGCCGGUAAGGUGAUAUGAACCGUUAUAACCGGCGAUACCCGAAUGGGGAAACCCAGUGUGAUUCGUCACACUAUCAUUAACUGAAUCCAUAGGUUAAUGAGGCGAACCGGGGGAACUGAAACAUCUAAGUACCCCGAGGAAAAGAAAUCAACCGAGAUUCCCCCAGUAGCGGCGAGCGAACGGGGAGGAGCCCAGAGCCUGAAUCAGCAUGUGUGUUAGUGGAAGCGUCUGGAAAGGCGCGCGAUACAGGGUGACAGCCCCGUACACAAAAGCGCAUGUGCUGUGAGCUCGAUGAGUAGGGCGGGACACGUGGUAUCCUGUCUGAAUAUGGGGGGACCAUCCUCCAAGGCUAAAUACUCCUGACUGACCGAUAGUGAACCAGUACCGUGAGGGAAAGGCGAAAAGAACCCCGGCGAGGGGAGUGAAAAAGAACCUGAAACCGUGUACGUACAAGCAGUGGGAGCACCCUUUUGGGUGUGACUGCGUACCUUUUGUAUAAUGGGUCAGCGACUUAUAUUCUGUAGCAAGGUUAACCGAAUAGGGGAGCCGGAGGGAAACCGAGUCUUAAUUGGGCGUUAAGUUGCAGGGUAUAGACCCGAAACCCGGUGAUCUAGCCAUGGGCAGGUUGAAGGUUGGGUAACACUAACUGGAGGACCGAACCGACUAAUGUUGAAAAAUUAGCGGAUGACCUGUGGCUGGGGGUGAAAGGCCAAUCAAACCGGGAGAUAGCUGGUUCUCCCCGAAAGCUAUUUAGGUAGCGCCUCGUGAAUUCAUCUCCGGGGGUAGAGCACUGUUUCGGCUAGGGGGCCAUCCCGGCUUACCAACCCGAUGCAAACUGCGAAUACCGGAGAAUGUUAUCACGGGAGACACACGGCGGGUGCUAACGUCCGUCGUGAAGAGGGAAACAACCCAGACCGCCAGCUAAGGUCCCAAAGUCAUGGUUAAGUGGGAAACGAUGUGGGAAGGCCCAGACAGCCAGGAUGUUGGCUUAGAAGCAGCCAUCAUUUAAAGAAAGCGUAAUAGCUCACUGGUCGAGUCGGCCUGCGCGGAAGAUGUAACGGGGCUAAACCAUGCACCGAAGCUGCGGCAGC